AUUGAACGCUGGCGGCAGGCCUAACACAUGCAAGUCGAACGAGUGGCGGACGGGUGAGUAAUUUCUGGGAACCUGCCUGAUAGAGGGGGAUAACUACUGGAAACGGUAGCUAAUACCGCAUACUAUCGGAUGUGCCCAGAUGGGAUUAGCUAGUCGGUGGGGUAAAGGCUCACCUAGGCGACGAUCCCUAGCUGGUCUGAGAGGAUGACCAGCCACACUGGAACGGAGACACGGCCCAGACGCCUACGGGAGGCAGCAGUGGGGAAUAUUGGACAAUGGGCGCAAGCCUGAUGCAGCCAUGCCGCGUGUAUGAAGAAGGCCUUCGGGUUGUAAAGUACUGUCAGCGGGGAGGCGUUACCCGCAGAAGAAGCACCGGCUAACUCCGUGCCAGCCGCCGCGGUAAUUC
rnacentral:rRNA from 1 species